AAACGGUAGCUAAUACCGCAUAACGUCGCAGGACCAAAGUGGGGGACCUUCGGGCCUCACACCAUCGGAUGUGCCCAGAUGGGAUUAGCUAGUAGGUGGGGUAAUGGCUCACCUAGGCGACGAUCCCUAGCUGGUCUGAUAGGAUGACCAGCCACACUGGAACUGAGACACGGUCCAGACUCCUACGGGAGGCAGCAGUGGCGAAUAUUGCACAAUGGGCGCAAGCCUGAUGCAGCCCUGCUGCGUGUAUGAAGAAGGCCUUCGGGUUGUAAAGUACUUUCAGCGAGGAGGAAGGCAUUAAUGUUAAUAACCUUAGUGAUUGACGUUACUCGCAGAAGAAGCACCGGCUAACUCCGUGCCAGCAGGCCGCGGUAAUACGGAGGGUGCAA
rnacentral:rRNA from 1 species